ACUAGGCGAGCGGAGGAGGGAAGGAAGGAGGCCGAGCGCCCGGGAAGGGCCAGGGCGCGAGCAGGGCUUGGAGAGUCGCGGGCCACUACCUCCCCACCUCCUUUCCCCUUGGGCGCCCCGCCCUCCCGGCCGGACCGGCGGUGCACGCAGCCAAUCAGCGCGCGGGGUGAUCGGGGUGUGAGCCGCGCGUCGGGGGCCUCGAAUCGGAAGGGAGACGUCGCUCGCUGAUUGGUCCCGCCUCCCCCGUAGAGCGUGAGGCGAGGCGCGGCCGGGCGGGCUGCCGGGCGGCGGCGGACGAGGCGGGGUGGGACGCUCGCUGUUUCGGUUGGCUUCGUCCCCGGCGCGCUCCCCCGAGAGGCUCUGGGAAGGAGAAGGGAAGGCUCAUAACCUGCUGCGCUGCGCUGGCGCCCACUCGUCCGUCAUUACCUCGGCCCAGCUCCCCGGCCAGCGCCAUUGGGUGGGGCCUAUCCGGGGCCAACGCCUGGCCAACCCACCGUAGUCAACCCAGGCACUGUUUUUAGGCCCAGCCUCGCACGUCCGUACCACGAGCCUCUAAGCUGCUGGCUGCCCAAAGCUGGUGGAGUUUUAACCACGCUCGGGUAACUUUGUCGCUUUUAUCUUAUGGAUACUCAAGCCUAUGCUGAAAUAUUAAAGCCAGCUAAUCACAUCAACCAUAUAAUUGUAAAUUCCUGAAGGACAAGGACGGCAAGCAUCUUGUUCCCAGUUGUUUCCCCGUAGCCGAAGAUAAAAAAAAUACCAUAAUUGAAGAAAUGUGAAAUACAUUUGUGUAGUACAAGAAGGCUGUAUGUGUGGCAAAGGUCUGCAGGCAUUCUACACAGCUUGGCCCCAUCCUUGUAGUUGCCCUCAGUACAGCUAUUGAGUAUCUUGUCAACAUCUGAUCUCUAUAUUUACUCAUCCUCGUGGAACUAACUUGCAGUGAGCAUUACUGGAUCUUAAAAAUCCAGCAACUGAAAAGACACUGAUUAAAUGAGAUAACCUAGGUAAAAAUGAUAAAGAAUGAAUGUGUAGGGUUACUUUUGUUGUAAAUGAUAAUGAAGAAACCCAACACCAGCUGGAUUUUUAUCUCAUCACAGUGAAAUUUCAUGUUUAAAAUGAACUUAUGUUGAAGUUGUGUGCACCUGCCUCUACAAACACACACAGUCUUCAUUCACAUGCUAAUUUUUAGUAAAAAUGAAAACAUUUAAUAUCUAAUGGGAAAUGCUAAAGACAAGAAUAAAGCAUAUACAAGAAAAAAACAAUUUCA